rfam:Echinococcus multilocularis genomic scaffold, pathogen_EmW_scaffold_10
GUCAGUGUGGCCGAGCGGUCUAAGGCGCCAGACUCAAGCGGGGGUGCUUUCUGAGAUUUCUGGUCCUCUGAUGGGGGCGUGGGUUCGAAUCCCACCGCUGACA